CUCUUGAACUAGGACAGGAGGGAGCUAGUGAGAUAAGACCUGGGCUGCCACGGCCCUCUCCUGCACCCUCCCAUGGGGCUAUGUAGCUGGGGCCGUUCACCUUCUAUUCACGGACCACCCCCGGGCUCCCGGCCGCUGUGUCUUCAGAUACUGUUACGUGGCCAAUGAGAGUUCCCAGAGGGCCUUGCUCUGAGUUGGCACUGACUCAGGCUCUUUCUGCCCCACAAACCAAGCACCUGUCUGGUUCUCGUUCAGUGUUAUUUGGUUCAGAUUAAAUAUUUCUCCCACCUAGUCUUCUCCCAUCCCAAGGCCCCGCAAGUCCUCUUUUGCAUUCUAAACCUUCCCUCCCAAAUUCUCAGUCCUUAGGAGAGAAGUCUAGGAGGUCAAAGGUCAUGCCAGCCUGCUUGCCUGGGAACAGGAUGCUGACAAGAAUCUGGGACCCCAGGGGCCAGCCCAGCCCUUGCCCAAUCCCAGCCCCUGACCAGGUCAAAGGUCUUAGGAGACGGCCGGGCACAUAGGCCAGAGGGCCUGAGUUUGGAGCUCCAGCAGCCACGUUAAAUGAUGGUUUAAAAGCCAGGCGUAGCGGCACACCCCCGUAAGCACCAGGAAGGCAGACACAGGAGGCUCCCUGGAGCUCGCCGGCCAACCUACACAGCUAACUGCUUUAGGAAAGCUAAGCCUCGCCGCGGGGCUUCCCUUUACCGAAGAACCAGGCGGGCCUGGCGGCCUCACCUGCAGCAUGCACCCGGCCCCAAGCCGCCUUACCCUCGGGGGGCAGCUCCAGCAUGGCGUAG